AAUAAACGCUGGCGGUGUGCCUAACACAUGCAAGUCGAGCGAGAAAGCUCCUUCGGGAGUGAGUACAGCGGCGGACGGGUGAGUAACGCGUGAGAAUCUGCCCUUCAGUGAGGAAUACCUCAGAGAAAUCUGAGUUAAUACUGCAUACGUCCCUUCGGGGAGAAAGAUGGCCUCUUUGCUGUCGCUGAUGGAUGAGCUUGCGUACCAUUAGCUUGUUGGUGGGGUAAAGGCCUACCAAGGCUAUGAUGGUUAGCCGACCUGAGAGGGUGUACGGCCACAUUGGAACUGAGACACGGUCCAG
rnacentral:rRNA from 1 species